UACGGGGGGGGCAAGCGUUGUUCGGAAUUACUGGGCGUAAAGGGCUCGUAGGCGGCCAACUAAGUCAGACGUGAAAUCCCUCGGCUUAACCGGGGAACUGCGUCUGAUACUGGAUGGCUUGAGUUUGGGAGAGGGAUGCGGAAUUCCAGGUGUAGCGGUGAAAUGCGUAGAUAUCUGGAGGAACACCGAUUGCGAAGGCAGCUCGCUGGGACGUUACUGACGCUGAGACGCGAAAGCGUGGGGAGCAAACAGGG
rnacentral:rRNA from 1 species